UCUUCUUCAGUAUAAGAGUACAUUUACCUUCCAAGUAAAAAGAUUAAUAAUUUAAAAGAAGCA
rnacentral:tRNA from 1 species